rnacentral:rRNA from 1 species
GACGAACGCUGGCGGCAGGCCUAACACAUGCAAGUCGAACGGCAGCGGGGGGUAGCUUGCUACCCCGCCGGCGAGUGGCGGACGGGUGAGUAAUGCCUGGGGAGCUGCCCAAUCGAGGGGGAUACCAGUUGGAAACGACUGCUAAUACCGCAUACGCCCUGAGGGGGAAAGGUGGGGAUCUUCGGACCUACCGCGAUUGGAUGCACCCAGGUGGGAUUAGCUAGUUGGUGAGGUAACGGCUCACCAAGGCGACGAUCUCUAGCUGGUCUGAGAGGAUGACCAGCCACACUGGAACUGAGACACGGUCCAGACUCCUACGGGAGGAAGCAGUGGGGAAUAUUGCACAAUGGGGGAAACCCUGAUGCAGCCAUGCCGCGUGUGUGAAGAAGGCCUUAGGGUUGUAAAGCACUUUCAGUGGGGAGGAAAGGUUGGCAGCUAAUACCUGUCGGCUGUGACGUUACCCACAGAAGAAGCACCGGCUAACUCCGUGCCAGCCGCCGCAGUAA